AUUUGGAGAGGAUGCUUCUGGCGCGGCGCCGUCCGAGUUCCUUGGAACAGGACGCCACAGAGGGUGAGAGCCCCGUACGGACGGACGCCUAGCCUCUACGAAGCUCCUUCGACGAGUCGAGUAGUUUGGGAAUGCUGCUCAAAAUGGGAGGUAAAUUUCUUCUAAAGCUAAAUACCGGCCAGAGACCGAUAGCGCACAAGUAGAGUGAUCGAAAGAUGAAAAGCACUUUGAAAAGAGGGUUAAAAAGUACGUGAAAUUGUUGAAAGGGAAGCGCCUGUGACCAGACUUGCGCCCCGUGGACCACCCGGCGUUCUCGCCGGUGCACUCCGCGGGGCGCAGGCCAGCAUCGGUUUUCCCAGGGGGACAAAGGCCGCGGGAACGUAGCUCCCUCGGGAGUGUUAUAGCCCGCGGCGGCAUGCCCCUGGGGGGACCGAGGACCGCGCUUCGGCAAGGAUGCUGGCGUAAUGGUCACCAGCGACCCGUCUUGAAACACGGACCAAGGAGUCAAGCAUUGGGGCGAGUGUUUGGGUGUCAAACCCGCACGCGAAAUGAAAGUAAACGCAGGUGAGAGCUUCGGCGCAUCAUCGACCGAUCCUGAAGUUUUCGGAUGGAUUUGAGUAAGAGCCUUGCCGCUUGGACCCGAAAGAUGGUGAACUAUGCCUGUAUAGGGUGAAGCCAGAGGAAACUCUGGUGGAGG
rnacentral:rRNA from 1 species